GGAGAGUUACUCAAGUCUGGUUGAAGAGAAAUGUUCUUUUGAAUGUUAGGUCACUCGUGGCGCGGGGGUUCAAAUCCUUCACUCUCCU
rfam:Lactobacillus rossiae DSM 15814 Scaffold15, whole genome shotgun sequence.